rnacentral:rRNA from 1 species
UACGUAGGGUGCGAGCGUUAAUCGGAAUUACUGGGCGUAAAGCGCGCGCAGGCGGUCCUUUAAGUCUGAUGUGAAAGCCCACGGCUCAACCGUGGAAGGUCAUUGGAAACUGGGGGACUUGAGUACAGAAGAGGAAAGCGGAAUUCCACGUGUAGCGGUGAAAUGCGUAGAGAUGUGGAGGAACACCAGUGGCGAAGGCGGCUUUCUGGUCUGUAACUGACGCUGAGGCGCGAAAGCGUGGGGAGCAAACAGG